UGAUGUCACUGAUAGGUGGUUUUCCCAGGGCGAGGCUUAUCCAUUGCACUCCAGAUGUGCUGACCCCUGCGAUUUUCCCAAAUGUGGGAAACUCGACUGCAUAAUUUGUGGUAGUGGGGGACUG